rnacentral:rRNA from 1 species
GUCCUGGCUCAGGACGAACGCUGGCGGCGUGCCUAACACAUGCAAGUCGAACGGAGUUAAGCUCUUCGGAACUUGACUUAGUGGCGAACGGGUGAGUAACGCGUGAUGAACCUGCCUUUCAGUGGGGGGACAACAGUUGGAAACGACUGCUAAUACCGCAUGACACUUUUGGGAGACAUCUCCUGGAAGUCAAAGCUUUAUGUGCUGAAAGAUGGCCUCGCGUCUGAUUAGCUGGUUGGUGAGG